GGUCAGGAUGAACGCUGACAGAAUGCUUAACACAUGCAAGUCUACUUGAUCCUCGGUGAAGGUGGCGGACGGGUGAGUAACGCGUAAAGAACUUGCCUUACAGACUGGGACAACAUUUGGAAACGAAUGCUAAUACCGGAUAUUAUGAUUGGGUCGCAUGAUCUGGUUAUGAAAGCUAUAUGCGCUGUGAGAGAGCUUUGCGUCCCAUUAGUUAGUUGGUGAGGUAACGGCUCACCAAGACGAUGAUGGGUAGCCGGCCUGAGAGGGUGAACGGCCACAAGGGGACUGAGACACGGCCCUUACUCCUACGGGAGGCAGCAGUGGGGAAUAUUGGACAAUGGACCAAAAGUCUGAUCCAGCAAUUUCCUGUGUGCACGAUGAAGUUUUUCGGAAUGUAAAGUGCUUUCAGUUGGGAAGAAGUCAGUGACGGUACCAACAGAAGAAGCGACGGCUAAAUACGUGCCAGCAGCAGC
rnacentral:rRNA from 1 species